AGUGGGGAAUAUUGGACAAUGGGCGCAAGCCUGAUCCAGCCAUGCCGCGUGAGUGAUGAAGGCCCUAGGGUUGUAAAGCUCUUUUGUGCGGGAAGAUAAUGACGGUACCGCAAGAAUAAGCCCCGGCUAACUUCGUGCCAGCAGCCGCGGUAAUACGAAGGGGGCUAGCGUUGCUCGGAAUCACUGGGCGUAAAGGGUGCGUAGGCGGGUCUUUAAGUCAGGGGUGAAAUCCUGGAGCUCAACUCCAGAACUGCCUUUGAUACUGAAGAUCUUGAGUUCGGGAGAGGUGAGUGGAACUGCGAGUGUAGAGGUGAAAUUCGUAGAUAUUCGCAAGAACACCAGUGGCGAAGGCGGCUCACUGGCCCGAUACUGACGCUGAGGCACGAAAGCGUGGGGAGCAAA
rnacentral:rRNA from 2 species